rnacentral:tRNA from 1 species
GGGCGAAUGGUCUAGGGGUAUGAUACUCCCUUCGCAUCUCUAAAUACCAUUAGAAUAUCGCGUCUGGGAGGGGUCCGGGGUUCAAUUCCCCGUUCGUCCA